CCUACGGGUGGCAGCAGUCGAGAAUCAUUCACAAUGGGGGAAACCCUGAUGGUGCGACGCCGCGUGGGGGAAUGAAGGUCUUCGGAUUGUAAACACUUGUCAUGUGGGGGCAAAUUAUAAAGAUAGUACCACAAGAGGAAGAGACGGCGAACUCGGUGCCAGCAGCCGCGGUAAUACCGAGGACUCAAGCGUUGUUCGGAAUCACUGGGCGUAAAGCGUGCGUAGGCUGUUUCGUAAGUCGUGUGUGAAAGGCGCGGGCUCAACCCGCGGACGGCACAUGAUACUGGGAGACUUGAGUAAUGGAGGGGGAACCGGAAUUCUAGGUGUAGCAGUGAAAUGCGUAGAGAUCGAGAGGAACACUGGUGGCGAAGGCGGGUUCCUGGACAUUAACUGACGCUGAGGCACGAAGGCCAGGGGAGCGAAAGGGAUUAGAUACCCGUGUAGUC
rnacentral:rRNA from 1 species